AAUAGUCUUUUAAUAGGAGGCUGGAAUGAAGGGUUGGACAAAAAAUGGACUGUCUUUUAGUAAGAAUUGAAUUUUACUUUUAAGUGAAAAGGCUUAAAUAGUUUAAGGGGACGAGAAGACCCUAUAAAGUUUUAUAGAAUUGAGAAUAUUAACAUAAGUAAGGGGGUUAUGUUUUAUUUAAAAUUUUAUUCCAUUGGGGAGGUGUAGAUAUAAAAUAAUAACUGUCUAAGAAAUAUAAUAAUUAUAAUUAGGUUUAAUGAGUUUUUUUUAAGGAUUAAGAGAAAAAGUUACUUUAGGGAUAACAGCGUAAUUUUUUUGGAGAGUUCUAAUCGAUGAAAGUAGUUGCGACCUCGAUGUUGAAUUAAGAUUAAAUUUAAGGGGCAGAUUCUUUAAUGAAAAGUCUGUUCGACUUUUAAAAUCUUA
rnacentral:rRNA from 1 species